GGGGAAUCUUGGACAAUGGGCGAAAGCCUGAUCCAGCGACGCCGCGUGGGUGAUGAAGGCCUUCGGGUUGUAAAGCCCUGUUGAAGGGAAAGAAAACGUCGGGCGCGAAUAGCUCCCGACCUUCACGGUACCCUUCCAGAAAGCACCGGCUAACUCUGUGCCAGCAGCCGCGGUGACACGUAGGCACCAAGCGUUAUCCGGAUUUAUUGGGCGUAAAGAGCUCGUAGGCGGUUUGGUAAGUCGGGUGUGAAAACUCUGGGCUCAACCCAGAGAGGCCACCCGAUACUGCUAUGACUAGAGUACGGUAGGGGAGCGGGGAAUUCAUGGUGUAGCGGUGAAAUGCGCAGAUAUCAUGAGGAACACCAGCGGCGAAGGCGCCGCUCUGGGCCGUAACUGACGCUGAGGAGCGAAAGCAUGGGUAGCAA
rnacentral:rRNA from 1 species